CCUUCAUGAAGCUGGAAUUGCUAGUAAUGGCAGGUCAGCAUACUGCCGUGAAUACGUUCCCGGGCCUUGUACACACCGCCCGUCACACCAUGAGAGUUGGAAAUACCCGAAGCCUGUGAGCUAACUUAAAGAGGCAGCAGUCGAAGGUAGAGCCAAUGAUUGGGGGUGAAGUCGUAACAAGGUACC
rnacentral:rRNA from 1 species